rfam:Schistosoma mansoni, Puerto Rico, WGS project CABG01000000 data, contig: 0125
AUCCAGCUGACGAGUCCUAAAUAUGACGAGGGGCGCGUCCUGGAU